GAUCAUGGCUCAGAACGAACGCUGGCGGCGCGUUUAAGCAUGCAAGUCGAGCGGCAAGGGCCUUCGGGCCCCUAGAGCGGCGGACGGGUGAGUAACACGUGGACAAUCUGCCCCCCGGCCCGGGAUAGCCCAGGGAAACCUGGAUUAAUACCGGAUGAGACGGGACCCGCGAUGGCGGGAUCCGGGAAAGGCGCUGCGGCGCCGCCGGGGGAUGAGUCUGCGUCCCAUUAGCUAGACGCGGGGUAACGGCCCACCGUGGCGACGAUGGGUAGCCGGCCUGAGAGGGUGGACGGCCACAUUGGGACUGAGACACGGUCCAGACUCCUACGGGAGGCAGCAGCUAAGAAUCUUCCGCAAUGGGCGAAAGCCUGACGGAAGCGACGCCGCGUGAACGAAGAAGGCCGUGAGGUUGUAAAGUUCUUUUCGGGAGGGGGAACAACCGUGGCAGGGAAUGGCCGCGGGAUGACGUGAAUCCCGGAAUAAGCCCCGGCUAACUACGUGCCAGCCGCGGC
rnacentral:rRNA from 1 species